rnacentral:rRNA from 1 species
CCUACGGGAGGCAGCAGUGAGGAAUAUUCGUCAAUGGACGAGAGUCUGAACCAGCCAAGUAGCGUGAAGGAUGACUGCCCUAUGGGUUGUAAACUUCUUUUAUAUGGGAAUAAAAUGUUCCACGUGUGGGAUUUUGUAUGUACCAUAUGAAUAAGGAUCGGCUAACUCCGUGCCAGCAGCCGCGGUAAUACGGAGGAUCCGAGCGUUAUCCGGAUUUAUUGGGUUUAAAGGGAGCGUAGGUGGAUUGUUAAGUCAGUUGUGAAAGUUUGCGGCUCAUCCGUAAAAUUGCAGUUGAAACUGGCAGUCUUGAGUACAGUAGAGGUGGGCGGAAUUCGUGGUGUAGCGGUGAAAUGCUUAGAUAUCACGAAGAACUCCGAUUGCGAAGGCAGUUCACUGGACUGCAACUGACACUGAGGCUCGAAAGUGUGGGUAUCAAACAGGAUUAGAUACCCCUGUAGUC